rnacentral:rRNA from 1 species
UACGUAGGGGGCAAGCGUUAUCCGGAUUUACUGGGUGUAAAGGGAGCGUAGACGGCAGAGCAAGUCUGAAGUGAAAGCCCGCGGCCCAACUGCGGGACUGCUUUGGAAACUGCCCGGCUAGAGUGCUGGAGAGGUAAGCGGAAUUCCUAGUGUAGCGGUGAAAUGCGUAGAUAUUAGGAGGAACACCAGUGGCGAAGGCGGCUUACUGGACAGUAACUGACGUUGAGGCUCGAAAGCGUGGGGAGCAAAUAGG